CGAGUGCAUGUUUAAGAUUUGAAGAUGUAAUUUGACUCAGUACUUUCCACCUGCAUUUUUUCUUCAUUCUGUGCCUGCUAAGACUAUUCUAAUACUUCAUUGUAGUUAACCCCUGCGAAAAGAGCUCCCAGAGCUUACGGUGCAUUUGAUUGAUGUCAUAUGGACUAUUUAUUAUUUUCUAAAUUAUUUUGUUUGUAUAAAGCAAUCUGAAGAGGAUGUAGGUCAGUUUGAUUCCGAGUCUACACAUCAGACACCUGUCGACAGCCCAGAUGAUUCAACUCUCAGUGAAAGUGCCAAUCAGGUCUUUCCGAAACAUUCAAGAGAAUGAAGCUGCUCCUUCAAUACUUUGCUUAGAUAUUUCUUCUGCCAAAUUUCAGGUUCAUCACUCUCAAGCUCUGCCUUCCAGAAAACACUGGGAGCACAAUGCAGCCAAGUUCUUUGUCACUUUAUGACAAGCAUCAUCUUUCCUCCAGUUUCCAAUAACGUGUUCUUCAUUGCCAUCUGAGACUUCAUCUGAAUGACUUUUCCCUUCCAUAUUUUUAUUUUUUUAAGAGACUGAGUCUCCUUAUGUUGGCCAGGUUGGUCUUGAAGUCUCAUCCUCAAGCGAUCCUUCCGUCUUGGCCUCCCAAAGUGCUAAGAUUCCAGGCAUGAGACACCAGGCCUGACCCCCUCCAUAUGCUACCGACAUUCUGUCCAGCUCUCCUCUUCUGAGCCCUCACCAGAGUCACCCUUAACCAAGAGUCACAGGGAGAAGACGGCCACCCACACGCCAAGAGACAGGCCUGGAACAGAGCCUUCCUGCACCACCUCAGAGGGACCCACCCUGCUGAGAGCUUGAUCUCGGACUCAUGGACUCCAGGAUUGUGAGACAGUAACAUUCUGUUGUUGAGGGUGCCCAGUCUGUGGUCCUGUAAAACAGCCCUAGAAAACUAACACAGCCUGUUAGCCCACAGAUGGUGGAGAGAUGGAAUGAAAUAAUAAUAGAAAUAUAUGUGAAAUAAUAAUGGAAAUAAAGCACACAAUAAAUGUAA